rnacentral:rRNA from 1 species
GAGUUUGAUCUUGGCUCAGGAUGAACGCUGGCGGCGUGCUUAACACAUGCAAGUCGAACGGUCGCAAGACAGUGGCGCACGGGUGAGUAACACGUAGCUAACCUGCCUUCGAGUGCGGAAUAACGUCCCGAAAGGGAUGCUAAUACCGCAUAAGCUCACGGGAUGUAGAUGCCUGUGAGAAAAGGGGAAACUCGCUUGAAGAGGGGGCUGCGACCCAUCAGGUAGUUGGUGCGGUAAAAGCGCACCAAGCCGACGACGGGUAGGGGGCCUGAGAGGGUGGUCCCCCACACUGGGACUGAGACACGGCCCAGACUCCUACGGGAGGCAGCAGUGAGGAAUAUUGCACAAUGGGCGAAAGCCUGAUGCAGCGACGCCGCGUGGGUGAAGAAGGUCUUCGGAUCGUAAAGCCCUUUUCUGCGUGACGAGACAAGGACGGUAGCGCAGGAAUAAGUCUCGGCUAACUACGUGCCAGCCCGCCG